AGCUUAUAAAGAGAGAUGGAGGGACUGGCCCGGUGAAAUCUCAGCAACCUGCAGCAGUGCAAGGUGCUAAAUCCAGCAGAAUGUCAGGCGCAUUCUGAAAGAUAAGUU
rfam:Bacillus licheniformis ATCC 14580, complete genome.